UAACUGGAGAGUUUGAUCCUGGCUCAGAUUGAACGCUGGCGGCAUGCUUAACACAUGCAAG
rnacentral:rRNA from 1 species